rnacentral:rRNA from 1 species
GAAUUCACUAGUGAUUUCUGGUUGAUCCUGCCAGACCCAACUGCUAUCAGAGUGGUACUAAGCCAUGCGAGUCGACGUAGCAAUACGUGGCGAACGGCUCAGUAACACGUAGUCAACAUGCCCAGGGGACGUGGAUAAUCUCGGGAAACUGAGAAUAAACCACGAUAGGUCACGAUUUCUGGAAUGGAUCUUGGCUUAAAUCUACAUGGCCCCUGGAUUGGACUGCGGCCGAUCAGGCUGUUGGUGAGGUAAUGGCCCACCAAACCUAUAACCGGUACGGGCUCUGAGAGGAGGAGCCCGGAGAUGGGCACUGAGACAAGGGCCCAGGCCCUAUGGGGCGCAGCAGGCGCGAAACCUCUGCAAUAGGCGAAAGCCUGACAGGGUUACUCUGAGUGAUUUCCGCUAAGGGGAUCUUUUGGCACCUCUAAAAAUGGUGCAGAAUAAGGGGUGGGCAAGUCUGGUGUCAGCCGCCGCGGUAAUACCAGCACCCCGAGUGGUCGGGACGAUUAUUGGGCCUAAAGCAUCCGUAGCCGGUUUUGCAAGUCUUCCGUUAAAUCCAGCCGCUCAACGGAUGGGCCGCGGAGGAUACUAUAGGACUAGGAGGCGGGAGAGGCAAGCGGUACUCAGUGGGUAGGGGUAAAAUCCUUUGAUCCAUUGAAGACCACCAGUGGCGAAGGCGGCUUGUCAGAACGCGCUCGACGGUGAGGGAUGAAAGCUGGGGGAGCAAACCGGAUUAGAUACCCGGGUAGUCCCAGCUGUAAACGAUGCAGACUCGGUGAUGGGCUAGCCUUGUGCCAGCCCAGUGCCGCAGGGAAGCCGUUAAGUCUGCCGCCUGGGGAGUACGGUCGCAAGACUGAAACUUAAAGGAAUUGGCGGGGGAGCACCACAAGGGGUGAAGCCUGCGGUUCAAUUGGAUUCAACGCCGGAAAUCGAAUUCCCGCGGCC